rnacentral:rRNA from 1 species
AUUGAACGCUGGCGGCAGGCCUAACACAUGCAAGUCGAACGAGUGGCGGACGGGUGAGUAAUGUCUGGGAAACUGCCUGAUGGAGGGGGAUAACUACUGGAUACGGUAGCUAAUACCGCAUAGCAUCAGAUCUGCCCAGAUGUGAUUAGCUUGUUGGUGGGGUAACGGCUCACCAAGGCGACGAUCCCUAGCUGGUCUGAGAGGAUGACCCGCCCCACUGGAACGGAGACACGGUCCAGACUCCUACGGGAGGGACCAGUGGGGAAUAUGGCACAACAUGCGCAAGCCUGAUGCAGCCAUGCCGAGUGUAUGGAGUAGGCCUUCGGGUUGUAAAGUACUUUCAGCGGGGAGGCGUUACCCGGAGAAGAAGCACCGGCUAACUCCGGGCCAGCAGCCGCGGUAAUAC